GAUGAACGCUGGCGGCGUGCCUAAUACAUGCAAGUCGAGCGAACAGACGAGGAGCUUGCUCCUCUGACGUUAGCGGCGGACGGGUGAGUAACACGUGGAUAACCUACCUAUAAGACUGGGAUAACUUCGGGAAACCGGAGCUAAUACCGGAUAAUAUAUUGAACCGCAUGGUUCAAUAGUGAAAGACGGUUUUGCUGUCACUUAUAGAUGGAUCCGCGCCGCAUUAGCUAGUUGGUAAGGUAACGGCUUACCAAGGCAACGAUGCGUAGCCGACCUGAGAGGGUGAUCGGCCACACUGGAACUGGGACACGGUCCAGACUCCUACGGGAGGCAGCAGUAGGGAAUCUUCCGCAAUGGGCGAAAGCUUGACGGAGCAACGCCGCGUGAGUGAUGAAGGUCUUCGGAUCGUAAAACUCUGUUAUUAGGGAAGAACAAAUGUGUAAGUAACUAUGCACGUCUUGACGGUACCUAAUCAGAAAGCCACGGCUAACUACGU
rnacentral:rRNA from 1 species